rnacentral:misc_RNA from 1 species
AAUUAGGGUUCCUAAUCCUAAUGUGAUUAGGUUUGCAAAACACUAUAAAUAGGGCUAGGAUCUCUACAUAUUUAGAGACUAUUUUUUAUGAUUGACUAUUGAUAAUAAUAAUAAUAAAAUUGAGAAUUUUUCCCCCCUUUAAGAAUUCGUUUCUCACCCCUUUGUUUCCCAAUACUCUAUUGAUUCUACAUCACAAUGUCUUUUAAUAGAUGAUUUAUUCUCAAAUAAACUAUUCCAAAGCACAAAGAAAAUCAAGUAUUCUAUUUUAUCAUAGCAUGAAACCCUAGCAUCAUCACAGCUUUAAAUCAGCAGAACAGUUUUCUAGCUAAGAUAUUAUGAAAAAGCAGUAGUGACAUGAGACAUCAAACCACGAACAAAAUAUAUCACUUACACCUAUAAUAUAGAGUUAUUAACAAUCCUUCAAAUUACGUACCACUGAAUACAAUGAGACUUGGCU